GGCAAGCAGACCCUUACACAGUGUCAGGCACAGCUGGCUGUUUCCAGGCAACUGUGGGGCGGAGCAUACCUGGCUGUUGCCAGGCAACUGUGGGGGUGGAGCUUAGACAGAAUACCAACACACACUAUAAAGCCCAUGGCACCUGUGUCGAUGAACCGCCGUACAUGCCUCUCCUCGGCUGUCCAGAUAACCCUAUUUCCUGUAUUUUCAGUGUCUACACGGAAGCAGCAGCUCCACAUAUGGGUUCCUCACAGGUGUGCUGAGUAUCCUUACCCUUCCUGUUUCUGAAGGAGAGCACUGAUCAUUCACUAAGCCCCACGCCUCACUUUCCCUGAGGGGCUCACCCAGGGAACUCAGCACUGUGAAUGUCUAACCAAUCAUCAGGGACCUGUCUUCAGUAAAGGAAAUGAAGGAAACUCAGCCACUCUGGGGAUUGGAUUCUCAGUUUCCCAUGCUCAGGACAUCACGUGGGGUUCAGGGUACAGGGUGUCUGAGAUGCUGACCCCAAGAUAGAGCUGAGUAUGGAAGAACGACCUCAGAGAAGAUUUUCGAAGCAGGGAUGAGCUAUCUCGCAGGCUGGAAUAGGCUUGGCCUCGGUGAACUCACAGGCAGGGUGAACAGCGUGUGGAGCCUUCAGCGAGGCUGCCAGAAGUCUGUAGCCAAAGCCGGCUGUCAGGGCACCUUUGGUCUUUCAGAAACAGCCUGACUUAGGACCACAGUACUCUGUUCUCUGCCUGAGACUCAGUUCCAAGAACCCUAGCAACAUCGAGGAUGGGAUGCUGGUGUCAGGAGCAGCUGACCCUCCUGAUCAAUUAUGAUCCCUGAGAUUCACAAUCGGGUGGCUGCAUUUCCAUGACAGUUGCUCUCAUGGGCCAUCUUCAGAGGAUUCCAGCUCAUGGUGUCUUCCCUUCUCCUGAGACCCGCACAGCCAGUUCUGAGGUGGGCCCCUCUGGUUGCACAGCCUUCCGGAGCACCCUUGGGCGUGCCUGUAGUGCUUUACCAAUGGCCAGUGUCAUCAGUGAAGAUAACAUAUUAUGAAAGUAAAAGGAACUUUGCGAGCCCAGAAUGUCCACUGUCUGCACACCAGUUCCACCCUAAAGCGGGUCUUUGAAAGGCUUUUAAAUAAAUCCAAAGUAAGGCGGAGUUUUACAUUUACAAGCUCUACACGGAUACAUUGCCUCUCCCCUGGUCUGGGUCCUGACUGUGGAGGUUGAAAGCCAGACGCCCAAGCUCUAGGCUGGCAUCUGUCCCUCAGGCCUCUGAAGAGUUUGUCCCCAUUGUCACUCGGGGUACCUCGUCCAGUCACAGCCAUGGGAGAAGUUGUUCAGCACUGCUAGAGACGUGACUCAGUGGGUGGAGACUCAGCCCCUGCACUGCACACAGUGGGUGUGACACAGAACAUGUGUAAGUCCCAGCACUCAGGAGGUUGCUGACUCAGGACUUGAGGGCUGCCCUCAGCCACACAGAGCUAGAGGUUACCCUAGGCCACAAGACCCUAUCUAAAAAUGUAACUAGGGAGGGGCCUCAGUAGUUAAGUGUGCGUGCUGCUCUUCCAGAGUCCAGAGCCGCGUUCCCAGCAUCCACAGGGUGGACUGAGCUCACAAAGGCCUGUAACUCAAGCUUCAUGGGAUCCAACACCUCCCUGUGCCCAGCAUAGACAAACACAUCUAAGCGAAACUACAGGAGCUCCCUGAGCUGUGACAUUGCCUUGGGUCACCACCUCAUUCUCUGGCUACCGUCAGGGUCCCCAGUCCAGUGGGCUAAUGCCUACAAAAGGCUAAAGGGUCUAUGUCCAGAGCUGCUUCCCCCUGAGGGGAAGGCUGACCUGGCAUGACUGCAGCCUCUCUCUUCCUCCCUUUGCCUGUUACUGGUGAGUAGGGCAGACAUGUUUGCUCACUGCUGUCCUGUAUCUUGCUCAUCCUCGAUCCUCCUGUCACAUGACUCGCCUCUCCUGCAUCGGAAGCGCUUGGCUUUCCCCAAGUUCAAGUUUUACCAGCCAUUUCCUUGGGUUUCCUUGUAAGUUCUUGGGUAGGAGAAUUUUCAAUACUGCUCAGCGGUGCCUUUCACACACACCAGGGGCCUAAUCAGGUUUUUAAGGUGUGUCACAGUCAUAAACACAGACCCAAAAGCAGUGCCUUGGUUACUUUUCUCAUUGUAUUAGGUACUAAUCGUGUUGCUGUCACAGAUUCCCGGAAAUAGCAACUUAAGGAAGGAAGGAAGGAAGGAAAGAUAGAAGGAAGGAAGGAAGGAAGGAAGGAAGGAAGGAAGGAAGGAAGGAAGGAAGGAAGGACAGGACAGGACAGGAGGAAGGAAGGAUGAAAGGAAAGGAAGGCGUUAAGAUCCCAGAUUAAAAGAACCAAGAGACUUCCAUGACUGAGAUGUGUUUUCCAAAAACAUGUUGAAAGGUGGUUAUGUCUCGUGGGAUUAUAUUCCGUCUCACAAGAUGGGAUAAGCCACAGCAAUGUGGGGCUCUAAAGCAAGCAUGGCAUCUCUUUCUGUCUUUAUUACCCCACGUUUCUCUUUCGUUCAUUCCCAUUUUCUCUCCUGUCCUGACACUCAUAGCAGAAGCCAAGCAAACACUGGCACCAUGACCCGUAACAUUGGGCUAUGUAAUAAUAAUGCUACACAGCCUCAGGCAUUUUGUUACAGCAACAGAAAAGAAGCUAAGCCAUAAUCAUAGGGUGUUACCGAGAAGGGGACACAAGGGUUGUGAGAGAUGGGGACGUCCUUGCACAGGUUGGCUUCCCAGAGGAGGUAACAGUGUCACCUGAGUUCUGAAGGCCAAGUAAACCUUCCCUGGGGAGGAGAGGAAGAGAGCUGCAUGCUGGGAAGAUGAAACAGAUCAUGAGUGGUGAGUGUCAGAGAGUGUGCUUGAGGAGUUAGGAGGCAGCACUUGCAGGAGCCUGAGAGAGACACAGUCAGUUCACACUGAACCCAGGGAUGUCAGUGUCAGCAAAAAGCAGUGUGUGUGUGUGUGUGUGUGUGUGUGUGUGUGUGUGUGUGUGUGUCAGGAAGCCAGUACUUGGCCUAUCCUAAUGGGAUCCUAAGACACUCACGCCAAAGACAGGAAGAAUGGAGGAGGAGAAAGACAAGAGAGCUGCCUUCCCAUGGGCACACCCAGGGUCCCCGUAUGAAGAAGUGCGAUUUCUGCACGAUUAACUGAUAUGAAACUCAUCUGCCAACCGUGACAGGCCCAGCCUUUGUCCUUUUCAUCCCGUGCUCCUGAGCACAGUAAGACAGAUAAUGAGUAGCAGGCAUUUGAGGGAAGUCUUUUCUGCAAAGGACAGAGACGUAAAUAAAUAGUAAAUGAAUGAAUGAAUGAAUGAAUAAAGAUAAAUAGUAAGUGAAUGAAUGAAUGAAUGACUAAAUAAAUAAGAAAUAAAUAUGGCUGGGGAAAUAGCUUGACUGGUGAAAUGCUUGCCUUAUAAGCAUGACGACCUGAGCUCAACGCCUAGAACCCACUUUAAAUUACAAAGAGCCAUGUGCUGUGAUACAGGCUGAUAAUCCCAGUGCUGGGGAGGCGGUAAUGAUGGCGUCUCCCUGGAGUUUCCAGUGGCCAUCUAGACCAAGACACAGGCCCGGGGAGAGCCUUUGUCUCAAAUAGGAGGUGGGACCAACGAAAUGACUCAGCACACGAAGGUGCCUGCUUGAGUUCAAUCUCCUUUGAUUCCUGGGACCCACGUGGUGGAAGGCAAGAACCACGUCCCCAUGAGUUGUCCUUUGGCUUCUACGGGAGUGCCAUGGUGUGUGUGUGCACACAUUAACAAAUGGGAAAAUAAAUGUUUUUAAAAGGUGGAUGGGGGGUUGGGGAUUUAGCUCAGUGGUAGAGCGCAAGGCCCUGGGUUCGGUCCCCAGCUCCGAAAAAAAGAAAAAAGAAAAAAAAGGUGGAUGGUACUAAAAGAAUGAGAGUCCAGGUUGUCUUCUAGUCUACACACACACACACACACACACACACACACAUGCACACACACAUACAGAGGCAUGUGAACCCCUGUGCACAUCACAUGUAUGCACACGCAAUCUAAAUUUCAGCAUAGCUAUUUCUCUUAGGCAUAGGUGAAGCUGAAGUGCUGUCUGAAGUGAAAGUAUCUGAUUGUGUCACGUGACGCAGGCUCACGUGGUGUUUUGCUGAUGCAAGACCCUUGGGAGGACACGUGAUAUUUGGAGAGAGUAUGAAUAGGACUCAACGGACAGUGCACUUGCAUAGCAUUGGUCUCUUGUCUUCCCUGAUCUUCACUUUGUCGAGAGAGGCAUGGCAGAGAACUCCUGGCGUUCUGGCUGGUCCUGGUCACUCCUGCUGACUCAUGUUGUUUCUUUGGAGACCUGGCAGUUUCUGCUGGAUCUUGCCACCACUGCUGAUUUGUGUUUGGUGGCACUUUUGAACUGGACUGCUGGUAUCCUGACAACAGAGAUGGAAACCACCUCCAAAGAACUACUUCUAAAUAGGUCCACACCCUCUUGUCCUAGUUACCACCUUUUCUCCCCUACCUCUGGAUGGUGGGCUAGCAGGGGCAACAAAGUGUUUGAAAACCUUUAUUAAAGUAGAUUUUGAAAAAUCUAAGCCUAUACCUGUUAACCACAGUGGCUGUUGCUUCCUCCCCAGGAGACAAUUUAGAGUGGAUUAAAGAAAGCAAUGAGGGAUCAGUAACGACCAAUUAACCACGUGGAACCAACCCAGAAAAGCAGUGGAGAUGUUCUUGCUGUGUUUUCCUACCACAGGAGAUGGCUUCACUCCACAGUAUACAAUGAAUUCUGGUGAUAGAGUCUGUGGCCACUGCCCAUGAAAUGUUUGUGUUGUACUAGUCAGGGCUGUGCUGAUACUGGAGUUGUAACUUGGAACCACUGGACACCAUUUCCAUGGUGAUAGUGAACACUUUGGCCAACUCUGUGCACCUGUCUGUUUCUCCUCACUGAGCUGAGGGAAGGACAGCCUGGUGGCCUUUUGCAGCUCCAGAGGAACAGAAGUCAGGUGCUCUAUAAGUGGGCAACAGAAUGCUCUGUGGAGAGUUUUAAGUUGUCAUCUGGAAUGGUACAUAGGGCAGCAUCAUCCCCAGGCAUCUCAGCACCUUUCCUUUGCAUCUGAGG